GACGAACGCUGGCGGCGUGCUUAACACAUGCAAGUCGAACGGAAAGGCCCUGCUUUUGUGGGGUGCUCGAGUGGCGAACGGGUGAGUAACACGUGAGUAACCUGCCCUUGACUUUGGGAUAACUUCAGGAAACUGGGGCUAAUACCGGAUAGGAGCUCCUGCUGCAUGGUGGGGGUUGGAAAGUUUCGGCGGUUGGGGAUGGACUCGCGGCUUAUCAGCUUGUUGGUGGGGUAGUGGCUUACCAAGGCUUUGACGGGUAGCCGGCCUGAGAGGGUGACCGGCCACAUUGGGACUGAGAUACGGCACAGACUCCUACGGGAGGCAGCAGUGGGGAAUAUUGCACAAUGGGCGGAAGCCUGAUGCAGCAACGCCGCGUGCGGGAUGACGGCCUUCGGGUUGUAAACCGCUUUCGCAUGUGACGAAGCGUGAGUGACGGUAAUGGGUAAAGAAGCACCGGCUAACUACGUG
rnacentral:rRNA from 1 species